rnacentral:rRNA from 1 species
UACGGGGGGAGCAAGCGUUGUUCGGAUUUACUGGGCGUAAAGGGCGCGUAGGCGGCCAGCACAAGUCAGUUGUGAAAUCUCCGGGCUUAACUCGGAAAGGUCAACUGAUACUGUGCGGCUAGAGUGCGGAAGGGGCAACUGGAAUUCUCGGUGUAGCGGUGAAAUGCGCAGAUAUCAGGAGGAACACCCGUGGCGAAAGCGGCUCUCUGGAACGGUACUGACGCUGAGACGCGAAAGCGUGGGGAGCGAACAGG